AGGGUUUGAUCCUGGCUCAGGGUGAACGCUGGCGGCGUGCCUAACACAUGCAAGUCGAGCGGUGCAGUUUGAAGCUUCGGUGGAAAGCUGCAUAGCGGCGGACGGGUGAGGAAAACGUAGGAACGUGCCCCUUGGAGUUGGAUAGCCACGGGAAACUGUGGGUAAACCGACAUAGACUCGAGAGAGUAAAGGCCGAAAGGCGCCAAGGGAGCGGCCUGCGGCCCAUCAGGUAGUUGGUAGUGUAAAGGACUACCAAGCCGACGACGGGUAGCCGGUCUGAGAGGAUGGCCGGCCACAAGGGCACUGAGAGACGGGCCCUACUCCUACGGGAGGCAGCAGUGGGGGAUUUUGGACAAUGGGCGAAAGCCUGAUCCAGCGACGCCGCGUGGAGGACGAAGCCCUUCGGGGUGUAAACUCCUUUUCUCAGGGAAAAAGGAUGAUGGUACCUGAGGAAUAAGCCCCGGCUAACUACGUGCCAGCAGCCGCGGUAAUACGUAGGGGGCGAGCGUUACCCGGAAUUACUGGGCGUAAAGGGUGCGUAGGCGGCCUUGCAAGUCCGGUGUUAAAAGCCCUGGCUCAACUAGGGAGAUGCGCUGGAAACUGUAAGGCUUGGGUGCAGCAGAGGCAGAUGGAACUGCUGGUGUAGGGGUGAAAUCCGUAGAUAUCAGCAGGAACGCCGGUGGAGAAGUCGGUCUGCUGGGCUGUGACCGACGCUGAGGCACGAAAGCUAGGGGAGCGAACCGGAUUAGAUACCCGGGUAGUCCUAGCCGUAAACGAUGCUCACUUGGUGUGGGGGCAUAGAGCCUCUGUGCUGAAGCGAACGCGUUAAGUGAGCCGCCUGGGGAGUAUGCCCGCAAGGGUGAAACUCAAAGGAAUUGACGGGGGCCCGCACAAGCAGUGGAGCGUGUGGUUUAAUUGGAAGCUAAGCCAAGAACCUUACCAGGGUUUGACAUGCUGGUGGUACGGACUCGAAAGAGGAAGGACCUUAUCGAAAGAUGAGGAGCCAGCACAGGUGGUGCACGGUCGUCGUCAGCUCGUGCCGUGAGGUGUUGGGUUAAGUCCCGCAACGAGCGCAACCCCUACUCUUAGUUACCAGCACGAAAGGUGGGGACUCUAAGAGGACCGCCGGCGACGAGCCGGAGGAAGGAGGGGAUGACGUCAGAUACUCGUGCCCCUUAUGCUCUGGGCGACACACGCGCUACAAUGGUAUGGACAACGGGAAGCCAGGUAGCGAUACUGAGCAAAACCCUAAAACCAUACCGCAGUUCAGAUUGUGGGCUGAAACCCGCCCACAUGAAGCUGGAAUUGCUAGUAAUCGCGGAUCAGCCACGCCGCGGUGAAUACGUUCCCGGGCCUUGUACACACCGCCCGUCAAGCCACCCGAGUUGCGGGCACCCGAAGACGCGUACUCUUAGGGGGCGUGUUGAGGGUGAACGUGGUGAGGGGGGCUAAGUCGUAACAAGGUAGGUGUACCGGAAGGUGCGCCUG
rnacentral:rRNA from 1 species